rnacentral:misc_RNA from 1 species
UUUCCGUAGGUGAACCUGCGGAAGGAUCAUUAUUGAAUUGGCAUCGGUUGCGGUUCUACCUGCCAAUUUUUGGAUGCAUGUUCUUUCUCUAUCAAUCAUCUUCCAGACACAUGUGCACAUUAUUCAAGUAGUCUUGAGUUAUCUGCCGCUCUUUUAUAUUAUUCUCACCUUCCCUUAACUCAUUAUUCGCUAUUGACAAUGUUGAACAUCGUCUCUGCCCGAAGGCUAUUAAUUUAGUACAACUUUUAAAGACGGAUCUCUUGGCUCCCGCCUCGAUGA